GUGGGGAAUAUUGCACAAUGGGCGCAAGCUUGAUGCAGCGACGCCGCGUGAGGGAUGACGGCUUUCGGGUUGUAAACCUCUUUCGAUGGGGAACAAGGCCACAUUUUUGUGUGGUUGAGGGUACCUGUAUAAGAAGCGCCGGCUAACUACGUGCCAGCAGCCGCGGUAAUACGUAGGGCGCGAGCGUUGUCCGGAAUUAUUGGGCGUAAAGAGCUCGUAGGCGGCUUGUCGCGUCUGCUGUGAAAACGCGGGGCUUAACUCCGCGCUUGCAGUGGGUACGGGCAGGCUUGAGUGUAGUAGGGGAGACUGGAAUUCCUGGUGUAGCGGUGGAAUGCGCAGAUAUCAGGAGGAACACCGAUGGCGAAGGCAGGUCUCUGGGCUAUUACUGACGCUGAGGAGCGAAAGCAUGGGGAGCGAACAGGAUUAGAAACCCGAGUAGUCC
rnacentral:rRNA from 1 species